CAAAAUAAAUUCCUUCUUUGCAUAUCCUGUUUGGGAUGCGUUCAACACGUCUGAGUAACAGGAAGGAGAUGCAUUCACACCCCUGCCGGUGGUUCCAAUGCUUUCAGGUGAUCUACAAGUUUGGUCACAUAAGGAUGACGCCUCCAAUUUACGAGCCCUCCGUCAAAUAUCUUCUGGAUGAGAGCUCCAGAGAAUCCAGACCAUAUUUCAGCUUACAGCACCGACUUCCAAGGCCUGUACUUGCAAUUACUCCAUUUGCAUCUGUCAAGACACUCGACCAUAGAAAUCUGCCCUCCAGCACUUUAGCACUUGCCCUUCCUGUUCACAGUUUAAGAGGCUCAUGGCAACAGUGUCAACUUCACUUGUAAACCAAAUGCUAUGGAUGAGAACAGAAAACCUCCUUGUCUGUUGGAAAGCAGUAAGAGAAGCUUUAAAAAGCAGAAUAACAACUGCUCAAUGUACUCGUACUGUUUCUUAACAUCAA